rnacentral:rRNA from 1 species
AUUGAACGCUGGCGGCAGGCCUAACACAUGCAAGUCGAGCGGAGCGGCGGACGGGUGAGUAAUGCCUAGGAAUCUGCCUGGUAGUGGGGGAUAACGUCCGGAAACGGGCGCUAAUACCGCAUACUAUCAGAUGAGCCUAGGUCGGAUUAGCUAGUUGGUGGGGUAAAGGCCUACCAAGGCGACGAUCCGUAACUGGUCUGAGAGGAUGAUCAGUCAACCUGUAACGGAGGCACGAGCCGGGAUCCUACGAGAGUCAGCGGUAGGGAAUAUUGCGCAAUGGGGGCAAGCCUGACGGAGCUUCGCCGCGUAGAGGAUGACACGUUGCGAGGCGGUACCUAACGAAUAAGCACCGGCUAACUCCGUGCCAGCAGCCGCGGUAAUUC